GAUGAACGCUGGCGGCGUGCCUAAUACAUGCAAGUCGAGCGAACGGACGCGAAGCUUGCUUCUCUGAUGUUAGCGGCGGACGGGUGAGUAACACGUGGAUAACCUACCUAUAAGACUGGGAUAACUUCGGGAAACCGGAGCUAAUACCGGAUAAUAUUUUGAACCGCAUGGUUCAAAAGUGAAAGACGGUCUUGCUGUCACUUAUAGAUGGAUCCGCGCUGCAUUAGCUAGUUGGUAAGGUAACGGCUUACCAAGGCAACGAUGCAUAGCCGACCUGAGAGGGUGAUCGGCCACACUGGAACUGAGACACGGUCCAGACUCCUACGGGAGGCAGCAGUAGGGAAUCUUCCGCAAUGGGCGAAAGCCUGACGGAGCAACGCCGCGUGAGUGAUGAAGGUCUUCGGAUCGUAAAACUCUGUUAUUAGGGAAGAACAUAUGUGUAAGUAACUGUGCACAUCUUGACGGUACCUAAUCAGAAAGCCACGGCUAACUACGUG
rnacentral:rRNA from 1 species